AUUGAACGCUGGCGGCAUGCCUUACACAUGCAAGUCGAACGGCAGCACGGGUGCUUGCACCUGGUGGCGAGUGGCGAACGGGUGAGUAAUACAUCGGAACAUGUCCUGUAGUGGGGGAUAGCCCGGCGAAAGCCGGAUUAAUACCGCAUACGAUCUACGGAUGAAAGCGGGGGACCUUCGGGCCUCGCGCUAUAGGGUUGGCCGAUGGCUGAUUAGCUAGCUGGUGGGGUAAAGGCCUACCAAGGCGACGAUCAGUAGCUGGUCUGAGAGGACGACCAGCCACACUGGGACUGAGACACGGCCCAGACUCCUACGGGAGGCAGCAGUGGGGAAUUUUGGACAAUGGGCGAAAGCCUGAUCCAGCAAUGCCGCGUGUGUGAAGAAGGCCUUCGGGUUGUAAAGCACUUUUGUCCGGAAAGAAAUCCUUGGCUCUAAUACAGUCGGGGGAUGACGGUACCGGAAGAAUAAGCACCGGCUAACUACGUG
rnacentral:rRNA from 1 species